AGUGAACGCUGGCGGUAGGCCUAACACAUGCAAGUCGAACGGCAGCACAGUAAGAGCUUGCUCUUACGGGUGGCGAGUGGCGGACGGGUGAGGAAUACAUCGGAAUCUACUUUUUCGUGGGGGAUAACGUAGGGAAACUUACGCUAAUACCGCAUACGACCUACGGGUGAAAGCAGUGGAUCUUCGGGCCUUGCGCGAUUGAAUGAGCCGAUGUCGGAUUAGCUAGUUGGCGGGGUAAAGGCCCACCAAGGCGACGAUCCGUAGCUGGUCUGAGAGGAUGAUCAGCCACACUGGAACUGAGACACGGUCCAGACUCCUACGGGAGGCAGCAGUGGGGAAUAUUGGACAAUGGGCGCAAGCCUGAUCCAGCCAUACCGCGUGGGUGAAGAAGGCCUUCGGGUUGUAAAGCCCUUUUGUUGGGAAAGAAAAGCAGCAGGUUAAUACCCCGCUGUUCUGACGGUACCCAAAGAAUAAGCACCGGCUAACUUCGUG
rnacentral:rRNA from 1 species